UUCUUUUUGGUCUAGUGGCUAUAAUACCUGGCUUUCACCCGGUAGGACCGGGUUCGAUUCCCGGAACUGGAAU